rnacentral:lncRNA from 1 species
GCUCUGACCAACAGAUUGGAGUUGCAGUAGACGAUACACGGUUCUCCAAGGACUAUUCCACUUGGGUCCUUUCUGUUUUGCAUGUAAAUCAACAAAAAUCCUUCUCCAAAUGCGAUUAGAUAGAUGGAGAUUUAGGAUUUUCAAAGGAAACCGCAAUGAAUUUUUUGGGUAAACGGAGCAAAGAAGAAAAAGAAGAGAAAUCAUGAUUAACGCUGGUUGUAAAAUGAAACCCGUAUUAUUUUUCGUGUGAAGAGCGUCACAUAAAGAGAUUAAAGAGUUGAUAGUGAAGGAAAAAGAGGGAACGAAAAUCGAACCGAAUGUUACAGAUGAAGAAAACAUCUCGUUUUGGUUUGCGCAAGAAUUUCAGAGGCGGAGAAGAAUGAUUCCCAAGCGCCAAUCAAAAUGAAACUACCGUACACAAUUGUGUAGGUGAACAACCAUUGUUGUUGGAAAUAUCCGGAUGAAUUAUAAUUUCUAUUGAUGUUUAUUAAGUAAUUUUUCUUAUUCUGGAU